AGACAAUCUUUAAGGUCUCUUCCAAACCAAACCAAUCUGUGCUUUCAUAGGCUUCUGUAACAUGAUUGGAGGUGCUUCAAAACUCAAAUAUGGGCAGGAUAAGGUCGUGCUGAGCUGACAGCUAUUGCAUUCACUCUCCACAUAGUGUGGCAGAAGCAGCAGAUAAGCUUUUGGACAACUACUUUACAGGUGCAGGAGAUGAACUGGAUUGGUUUGAGUGUAACUGUACAAGACUGAGCAUGGUCAGUGCUACACUGGGUCAGGUCCCUCGACUCGGAGCUGCAGGGGAUGGGCACCUUGCCCUAAUGGCCACUCAGGCCUGCACCACAAAUAAUUGCAAUCAAUUAGAAAAAGAAUAAUAAACCACUGUGUGAUACAGAGAGGUCAUGAAAA